UAGGGAAUCUUCGGCAAUGGACGAAAGUCUGACCGAGCAACGCCGCGUGAGUGAAGAAGGUUUUCGGAUCGUAAAACUCUGUUGGUAGAGAAGAACGUUGGUGAGAGUGGAAAGCUCAUCAAGUGACGGUAACUACCCCGAAAGGGACGGCUAACUACGUGCCAG
rnacentral:rRNA from 1 species